UGCAGUCGAGCGAAUGGAUUAAGAGCUUGCUCUUAUGAAGUUAGCGGCGGACGGGUGAGUAACACGUGGGUAACCUGCCCAUAAGACUGGGAUAACUCCGGGAAACCGGGGCUAAUACCGGAUAACAUUUUGAACCGCAUGGUUCGAAAUUGAAAGGCGGCUUCGGCUGUCACUUAUGGAUGGACCCGCGUCGCAUUAGCUAGUUGGUGAGGUAACGGCUCACCAAGGCAACGAUGCGUAGCCGACCUGAGAGGGUGAUCGGCCACACUGGGACUGAGACACGGCCCAGACUCCUACGGGAGGCAGCAGUAGGGAAUCUUCCGCAAUGGACGAAAGUCUGACGGAGCAACGCCGCGUGAGUGAUGAAGGCUUUCGGGUCGUAAAACUCUGUUGUUAGGGAAGAACAAGUGCUAGUUGAAUAAGCUGGCACCUUGACGGUACCUAACCAGAAAGCCACGGCUAACUACGUGCCAGCAGCCGCGGUAAUACGUAGGUGGCAAGCGUUAUCCGGAAUUAUUGGGCGUAAAGCGCGCGCAGGUGGUUUCUUAAGUCUGAUGUGAAAGCCCACGGCUCAACCGUGGAGGGUCAUUGGAAACUGGGAGACUUGAGUGCAGAAGAGGAAAGUGGAAUUCCAUGUGUAGCGGUGAAAUGCGUAGAGAUAU
rnacentral:rRNA from 1 species